ensembl:miRNA
CAUUCCUUCAGUGUUAAAGCAAUCUCUAUUGAACCAAGCUCCAAACCAAGUUCAUUGGAGUUUGUUUCAAUAUUGCAAGAAU